UACGAAGGGGGCUAGCGUUGCUCGGAAUCACUGGGUGUAAAGCGCACGUAGGCGGCUUUCUAAGUCAGGGGUGAAAUCCUGGAGCUCAACUCCAGAACUGCCUUUGAUACUGGAGAGCUUUGAGUCCGGAAGAGGAGAAUGGAAUUCCUGGUGUAGCGGUGAAAUGCGCAGAUAUCAGGAAGAACACCCGUGGCGAAGGCGGUUCUCUGGGACGGUACUGACGCUGAGACGCGAAAGCGUGGGGAGCGAACAGG
rnacentral:rRNA from 1 species